rnacentral:lncRNA from 1 species
UUGCUCUUAAAACUAUACAUACUAAUAUAUGUGUUUGUUUAUAUUUCUAGGUUUCCUAUAUAUUUUGGUCUGCAUUUAUGAUUGGAGGAGUGUUUCAUGCUCUCAGUGUGGGAUAGAAAAGACCAGGUGACACACGUGCUCUAUCUUCAACCCUUGAAAUACAGAUAGGCAAAUAAAUACAGUCUGGAACUUUUCCAGAACAUGUUCAAUUGAAUGCAAAGCUGCUUCCUGAUGUGCUCAGCAAUAUGGAGUCCACUGCUGGCUUGGAAACCAAUCUGGUGAUUGACAGUUUCUUAAAUGGUGUUGAUGGAACAGUGACUGCCCUAUUUUCUGAAACAGUGGUUGCAAAUACAACUAUCAAGUUAAUUCGUCAUUUAUACAAAAGCUGACUCCACAUACACUAUCAAUGGGAUAUCUUUUUUAUUCAAGGGAAGCAGCAAUGACUUGCCUCUUAGAAGAUAUACCACCACAGUAACAAUCUCUUUGGAUUUCSUUCUACAUAUGUCUCAUUUUAUCAACUGAGCCUUUGAUUGAAAUAUAGAAAAAUUAGGAAGUAACAGCUAUGUGAAUUGUCAAAAUCUAUACUUAAUAUUAUCUCUAUUGUCUAAGUGCAAAAAUCCUAAUGCCUUUAAAUACUAAGUGACAUAAAAUAACGUGUUUAUACAUGCUGAAUUUGUUAAGGGUGGAGUUGUAAAUGUGGAAUAUUCUUGUUUUGUUAAUUUGAAGAUGAUAAUGUUAUACAUAAUGAAAGUGGUCCUUAGAGGUUAGUUUAUGUUUGAAGGGUUCAGUAGGAGGAGUUCAUGUCUUAAAAGAAAAAAUGUAUGGAUGAGAAACUGAAAAAGGAAACAAAGGUAAAGAAGUAAAGAACAAUUUCUCCACCCCAUCAUGAAACAAAUAGUAUUAAAUAUGUUGUAAUUUAGUUACAUAAAAAACAGAGUUCAGGACCUAAACUUCUUGGGGAAGCACGGUUUAGGAGCAGAGCAGCAGCAGCCUGCUUGCUGGCUCCCUGGGGAGGAGUGCCUUGUAUCACUUCUGGCUGACAGGCAGAGCCGCGCUGCCAGCUUCCGGGGGGAGCUGUCUUUAGCUCUCUUAAGACCCAGUCUUGC